UACGAAGGGAGCUAGCGUUGUUCGGAAUCACUGGGCGUAAAGCGCACGUAGGCGGAUGUGUCAGUCAGGGGUGAAAUCCUGGAGCUCAACUCCAGAACUGCCUUUGAUACUGGCGAUCUCGAGUCCGGGAGAGGUGAGUGGAACUGCGAGUGUAGAGGUGAAAUUCGUAGAUAUUCGCAAGAACACCAGUGGGCGAAGGCGGCUCACUGGCCCGGUACUGACGCUGAGGCGCGAAAGCCUAGGGGAGCGAACAGGG
rnacentral:rRNA from 1 species